rnacentral:rRNA from 1 species
AUUGAACGCUGGCGGCAGGCCUAACACAUGCAAGUCGAACGAGUGGCGGACGGGUGAGUAAUGUCUGGGAAACUGCCCGCUGGAGGGGGAUAACUACUGGAAACGGUAGCUAAUACCGCAUACCAUCGGAUGUGCCCAGAUGGGAUUAGCUUGUAGGUGAGGUAACGGCUCACCUAGGCGCCGAUCCCUAGCUGGGCUGAGAGGAUGACCAGCAGCGUUGGGACUGAGACACGGUCCAGACUCCUACGGGAGGCAGCAGUGGGGAAGAUUGCAAAAUGGGCGAAAGCCUGAUGCAGCCAUGCCGCGUGUAUGAAGAAGGCCUUCGGGUUGUAAAGUACUUUCAGCGGGGAGGCGUUACCCGCAGAAGAAGCACCGGCUAACUCCGUGCCAGCAGCCGCGGUAAUAC